rnacentral:rRNA from 1 species
AUUGAACGCUGGCGGCAGGCCUAAUACAUGCAAGUCGAGCGAGCGGCGGACGGGUGUGAUAUGUAUGGGGUCUGCCCGAUAGAGGGGGAUAACUACUGGAAACGGUAGCUAAUACCGCAUACUAUCGGAUAACCUAUAUGGGCUGAGCUAGUAGGUGAGGUAAUGGCUCACCUAGGCGACGACCCCUAGCUGGUCUGAGAGGAUGAACAGCCACACGGGGACUAAGACACGGCCCAGACUCCUACGGAGGCAGCAGUGGGGAAUAUUGCACAAUGGGUGCAAGCCUGAUGCGGCCAUGCCGCGUGUAUGAAGAAGGCCCUAGGGUUGUAAAGUACUUUCAGUCGGGAGGCGUUACCGACAGAAGAAGCACCGGCUAACUCCGUGCCAGCCGCCGCGGUAAUUC